rnacentral:rRNA from 1 species
CGAUUCCCUACGGGGUGCAGCAGGCGCGCAAACUUUACAAUGCGAGCAAUCGUGAUAAGGAAACCCUGAGUGCCUGUCGAUGCAGGCUGUUCAUAUAUCUAAAUCAUAUGUGAAGAAAGGGCAGGGCAAGACCGGUGCCAGCCGCCGCGGUAAUACCGGCUGCUCGAGUGAUGGCCACUAUUACUGGGUUUAAAGCGUCCGUAGCUUGACUGUUAGGUCUCUUGGGAAAUCUUCACGCUCAACGUGAAGGCGUCUAAGAGAUACCGGCAGUCUUGGAACUGGGAGAGGUAAACCGUACUUCGGGGGUAGGAGUGAAAUCUUGUAAUCCUCGAGGGACGACCUAUGGCGAAGGCAGUUUACCAGAACAGCUUCGACAGUGAGGGACGAAAGCUGGGGGAGCAAACGGGAUUAGAUACCCCGGUAGUCCCGGCCGUAAACAAUGUGCGUUAGGUGUGUCGGUAACCACGUGUUACUGAUGCGCCGAAGAGAAAUCGUGAAACGCACCACCUGGGAAGUACGGUCGCAAGGCUGAAACUUAAAGGAAUUGGCGGGGGAGCACCACAACAGGUGGAGCCUGCGGUUUAAUUGGAUUCAACGCCGGACAUCUCACCGGAUAAGACAGCUGAAUGAUUGUCAAUCUGAAGGUUUUACAUGACUAGCUGAGAGGAG